rnacentral:lncRNA from 1 species
GAAGACAGGGUUUGCUCUUCUGGACUGUUGAGUUCCAUGAGGUCUAAAACCUUGAUCAGACAACUCCUGCAAAUGCACAGGUCUGCAUCAAUUGAGAGGGGUCAGGUUGCCAGCAAUGCCACACGACCUCCUUUCCGGGUGACAGGCUUGGCCCCUGCUCAUGCUCUUCCACGUGGCAGGUGGCGUUCAGGUGAGCAGCUGACUGGAGGAGCUUCUGAAAUCCCCACAGCGGCCUGUGUCCAUCACAAAAAUGAUGUUGAGAGCACAGGGACCCUCCUCACUCCACAGGGGAGUCGCGAGAGCAGUGGUCCGAACAAGAGUUCAGGACCUGGUCUGUCUUCGUUACCUCUGUAUUCCUGGAGCCUGGAAGAGAGGCACGGAGCUGGUACCCAAUAAAUAUCUGUUGAAUGGUGAAGGAGUAAAUUUGUUUCUGGCUGCUUCAGAUUCUUUUUGGUGCUACAAGAAAGCUUCUAGGUGCCCCGUCGUGACCUGGAUCAGCGCUGUGGAGUCAGGACACUGCAUCUCUGAGCUCUGGGAC